UCUAUCAUGGCAGAAUAGUGCAAUGAAUUUAAAUUUCGUAUAUAAAAAUAAUUUUUUUUUUAGAA
rnacentral:tRNA from 1 species